rnacentral:rRNA from 1 species
GACGAACGCUGGCGGCGUGCUUAACACAUGCAAGUCGAGCGGUAAGGCUCCUUCGGGAGUACACGAGCGGCGAACGGGUGAGUAACACGUGAGUAAUCUGCCCUUCACUUCGGGAUAACCACCGGAAACGGUGGCUAAUACCGAAUACGACCAGUCUUCGCAUGAGGUGCUGGUGGAAAGUCUUUUCGGUGAAGGAUGUGCUCGCGGCCUAUCAGCUUGUUGGUGGGGUAAUGGCCUACCAAGGCUUCGACGGGUAGCCGGCCUGAGAGGGUGACCGGCCACACUGGGACUGAGACACGGCCCAGACUCCUACGGGAGGCAGCAGUGGGGAAUAUGGGACAAUGGGCGAAAGCCUGAUCCAGCAACGCCGCGUGAGGGAUGACGGCCGUCGGGUUGUAAACCUCGUUCAGUACCGACGAAGCGCCCUGUCGGGUGGUGACGGUAGGUACAGAAGAAGGACCGGCCAACUACGUG